UUCCUCCUCCGUGGCUGCCUCCUCCACCAUGGCCACCAUGACCACCUCGCUUGCUUACGGAGGAGAUCAGUUCAGUACUCUUGAUGGAUGGCAAUGACAAGGGCAGCAACUUUUCUGCGAAGGAAAGAAGAAGAAAGAAAAUGUGAAGCUUCGUCACGCACGGAAGGUGUUUGUGGAAAUGCCUAACAGAGGAAACUGAACAAGAACCUGGAGUUUGAAGCAUUGACGGCUUGAUGAUGGGUGGUCGCGAAACACAAAAAUAGAUCAAGGGGGAAGAGGAAUUACGAUCGGUGGUUUACGAGUGUUUACCUUUGUGGGCGAGAUCGCGCUGGAAACUUGGAGAGGGAGCAAGAAGCAGAGACAGAAGAAGGAGAAGAUACCAAGAAUUGGACGUAAUAAUCCUCAUCGUUCUGAAAAUCGAAGCUGGUGAAUUCUGUGAUCAAGGAUUUAUGGUUGGUGGGUGAGGAAAGAUCGUCACUUGAUGGUGGGAAUCAAAAGGGGAUUUCGGGAUUGGCAGCUUGCGGAUGAAUCGAUGAAGGAAGGGCUCUGCUUUUGCCACCGAUGAAUUUGGCGAAUUGCGGGGAAAUUAUUGUUUAUGAAAGAAAUCUUCGAAAGUCUACUCCGGAAAUAUAUAAAACAGAAGAAUUUGGCGGUUACGAGUUAAAUUAAUCGAAUUACAAAUUA
rnacentral:lncRNA from 1 species